UACGUAGGGAGCGAGCGUUGUCCGGAUUUAUUGGGCGUAAAGAGCGUGUAGGCGGCCAGGUAGGUCUGCUGUGAAAACUCGAGGCUUAACCUCGAGCUGUCGGCGGAAACCAUCUGGCUAGAGUCCGGAAGAGGAGAAUGGAAUUCCCGGUGUAGCGGUGAAAUGCGCAGAUAUCGGGAAGAACACCCGUGGCGAAGGCGGUUCUCUGGGACGGUACUGACGCUGAGACGCGAAAGCGUGGGGAGCGAACAGG
rnacentral:rRNA from 1 species